rnacentral:rRNA from 1 species
UACGGAGGGUGCAAGCGUUAUCCGGAUUCACUGGGCUUAAAGGGUGCGUAGGAGGGCAGGUAAGUCAGUGGUGAAAUCUCCAAGCUUAACUUGGAAACUGCCGUUGAUACUAUCUGUCUUGAAUAUUGUGGAGGUGAGCGGAAUAUGUCAUGUAGCGGUGAAAUGCUUAGAUAUGACAUAGAACACCAAUUGCGAAGGCAGCUCGCUACUCAAUUAUUGACUCUGAGGCACGAAAGCGUGGGGAUCAAACAGG